UACGUAGGGUGCAAGCGUUGUCCGGAAUUAUUGGGCGUAAAGAGCUCGUAGGCGGUUCGUCACGUCGGCUGUGAAAUCCCGAGGCUCAACCUCGGGUCUGCAGUCGAUACGGGCGGACUUGAGUACUGCAGGGGAGACUGGAAUUCCUGGUGUAGCGGUGAAAUGCGCAGAUAUCAGGAGGAACACCGGUGGCGAAGGCGGGUCUCUGGGCAUUACCUGACGCUGAGGAGCGAAAGUGUGGGGAGCGAACAGG
rnacentral:rRNA from 1 species